rnacentral:rRNA from 1 species
CAUGCAAGUCGAACGAGAGAGAAGGAGCUUGCUUCUUCGAUCGAGUGGCGAACGGGUGAGUAACGCGUGAGGAACCUGCCUCAAAGAGGGGGACAACAGUUGGAAACGACUGCUAAUACCGCAUAAGCCCACGGGUCGGCAUCGACCUGAGGGAAAAGGAGCAAUCCGCUUUGAGAUGGCCUCGCGUCCGAUUAGCUAGUUGGUGAGGUAACGGCCCACCAAGGCGACGAUCGGUAGCCGGACUGAGAGGUCGAACGGCCACAUUGGGACUGAGACACGGCCCAGACUCCUACGGGAGGCAGCAGUGGGGAAUAUUGCACAAUGGGGGAAACCCUGAUGCAGCGACGCCGCGUGGAGGAAGAAGGUCUUCGGAUUGUAAACUCCUGUUGUUGAGGAAGAUAAUGACGGUACUCAACAAGGAAGUGACGGCUAACUACGUGCCAGCAGCCGCGGUAAAACGUAGGUCACAAGCGUUGUCCGGAAUUACUGGGUGUAAAGGGAGCGCAGGCGGGAAGACAAGUUGGAAGUGAAAUCUAUGGGCUUAACCCAUAAACUGCUUUCAAAACUGUUUUUCUUGAGUAGUGCAGAGGUAGGCGGAAUUCCCGGUGUAGCGGUGGAAUGCGUAGAUAUCGGGAGGAACACCAGUGGCGAAGGCGGCCUACUGGGCACCAACUGACGCUGAGGCUCGAAAGUGUGGGUAGCAAACAGGAUUAGAUACCCUGGUAGUCCACACCGUAAACGAUGAUUACUAGGUGUUGGAGGAUUGACCCCUUCAGUGCCGCAGUUAACACAAUAAGUAAUCCACCUGGGGAGUACGACCGCAAGGUUGAAACUCAAAGGAAUUGACGGGGGCCCGCACAAGCAGUGGAGUAUGUGGUUUAAUUCGACGCAACGCGAAGAA